rnacentral:lncRNA from 1 species
AUCUAAGCAGGGUUGUUGUUCAAACCUGCAAGUGUGUUUCAAAAUGUUUUCGUCAGGGCAAUUGUGUUACUGCCCCUUUUUUGGACAUCUGGUAGUGCUUAAAUGUGAGUAUAAAGCAGAGAUGAAGUGCACUUGGACUGCAGAAAGCAGCAGGAUGAAGAGUAAUGUGCAGCUAGGGCUGUUGUGUCUCAGCCUGCUCAUCUUCAGUCUUCAUGGAGAAGUUGUCGAGACAGAAUCGAGCAAACAAGUCCCCCCCUAUUUCGAAGAGCCGGAUCUUCAUCAGCUUGAGAUGUACAGAGUACGACGACAGACGGUCUCCACAGAGAAGGAAAAUCCAGCAAGAACAGUAGCUGUUUUGCCACCAAGUGAGAACCGCAAGACUAAGAGAACACGGCCACAUCCAGGAGGUCUCACUCCUUUAGGAGAACCAACGAUAUACGUCAAUCACCGCACCAAGAGACAGGAAAAAAGCAAGAAUAACAAAAGGAAAAUACGUCCCGGAAGUCAGAGCCUUUUACGGCCCCAGCAGACUGCCAAUGUCAAGAGGGAUGACGAAUGAAAAAGUUAAAGCAUUAUAUGCGUUCAAGGCUCCUUCCCAGGUUCCCUGAAUCAGGAAAAAAGGAAUAUAUCACCAUGUUUCAUAAAGAGGGUUUCAGGCUCAGGUUCUGCUUGUGAUAAUCAUUUAUAUUUCUAUAGCUUUUCUUUUCCACGUAUAUUUUGGUUAAGUAAUAAUCUCUAUGGAAAAUAAAAUGUAUUUACUGAAUUCUCCCCCGUGUGUAUUUCGUAUUCGCAUCACUAGGGGGCAAUGUUUACCCAAGAGAUGAGCGCUCAAACCAGCUUGGCUUCUGUUUAAACGAAAUGUUUGAUAUCUGUUUAUCUUCAUCUAUUAAUUACAAUAAAGCAUUUGUCUUGAAAUGUCACUCUUUUAUUGUGUGGAAAACACUGUAGUCGACGAAUGGCUUUCUAUAAAGUUUUGGCUGUACUGCGUUUUUUUGUGUUGAUACUGUCAAGCAUAAACAGUCUAUGUGUUGACAGAUUCUGUGAGAUAUAAACUGCAUAACUAUCACUCCUCUUUAGUAUUUGAGUAGUUCUGCCAGUUAAAUGUGCCAGAAAUUAUCCUGAAAAGGCAUACAAAAUGGUAGGCCUAUGUUUUGUGCCAGGAAUUUGUCAAAACACAUUGGCGGUCCAAAGCAAAGAGAAAAGCAACACCCCUUCUUCCUUAUCUGCAUAAUCCUUGAUAAUAACAUAAAACUAUUUCCUACACGUUUCACGCUGUUGUUAUUUAAGAAUCUAAAAUGUUCCGGGAAAAAAAAAAACCUUUUAUAUGAGAUGGCCAAUGUAAUAACAUCGCUUCACACAUGAGCCCCAAAAAAGUAACCACAAGCAACCAUGCAAAAGCAACAAUUUGCACUUACACAGGUAUGUAAAAUGUAAGUAGUGCAGAUGUAAGCCAG